GUACCUGCGGAGGGAUCAUUACAGAGUUAUCCAACUCCCAAACCCAUGUGAACUUAUCUCUUUGUUGCCUCGGCGCAAGCUACCCGGGACCUCGCGCCCCGGGCGGCCCGCCGGCGGACAAACCAAAACUCUUGUUAUCUUAGUUGAUUAUCUGAGUGUCUUAUUUAAUAAGUCAAAACUUUCAACAACGGAUCUCUUGGUUCUGGCAUCGAUGAAGAACGCAGCGAAAUGCGAUAAGUAAUGUGAAUUGCAGAAUUCAGUGAAUCAUCGAAUCUUUGAACGCACAUUGCGCCCAUUAGUAUUCUAGUGGGCAUGCCUGUUCGAGCGUCAUUUCAACCCCUAAGCACAGCUUAUUGUUGGGAACCUACGGCUUCGUAGUUCCUCAAAGACAUUGGCGGAGUGGCAGUGGUCCUCUGAGCGUAGUAAUCUUUUAUCUCGCUUCUGUUAGGUGCUGCCCCCCCGGCCGUAAAACCCCCAAUUUUUCUGGUGACCUCGGAUCCAGGAGAACCUGUCCCCA
rnacentral:rRNA from 1 species